UACGAAGGUGGCAAGCGUUGUUCGGAUUUACUGGGCGUAAAGAGUGCGUAGGCGGCUUAACAAGUCAGAAGUGAAAGCCCAGGGCUCAACCCUGGAAUUGCUUUUGAAACUGUUUCGCUUGAAUCCGGUAGAGGUUGGCGGAAUUCUCAGUGUAGAGGUGAAAUUCGCAGAUAUUGAGAGGAACACCAGUGGCGUAAGCGGCCAACUGGACCGGUAUUGACGCUGAGGCACGAAAGCGUGGGUAGCAAACAGG
rnacentral:rRNA from 1 species